rnacentral:rRNA from 1 species
GACAGAGGGGGCAAGCGUUGCUCGGAAUCACUGGGCGUAAAGGGCGCGUAGGCGGGAUGGCAAGUCGGUCGUGAAAUCCUUCGGCUCAACCGAAGAACGUCGGCCGAUACUGCCGUUCUUGAGGGAUGCAGAGGAGAUUGGAAUUCCCGGUGUAGCUGGUGAAAUGUGUAGAGAUCGGGAGGAACACCGGUGGGCGAAGGCGGGUCUCUGGGCAUCUCCUGACGCUGAGGCGCGAAAGCGUGGGGAGCAAACGGG